CUUUGAUAUGUAUGCAAAUGGAAAAAUUAAUCAGUAAAGCGACUUAAGUGAUUAUCUAAGAACUUGCUUAAAUAUCAGAAGAAUAAAAUUCUCACAUUUAUAUAUGAUGACACCUUACCAAAAAAUAUAAAUUAUAACAAUUCAAAUGAAUAACAAGAAUAUUUAGUAGCUACAUUACAAGAAAAACCAAUAUUCCCUCCGGCCUUAAUUAUAAGCAAAUUUCCACUUUUCAUAUUCAUUGGAUAACUAAUGUAUCUGACCUUAAUUAUAUACCAGAUACAUUAGUUAUCCAAUGAAUCUAAGGCCGGAGGGAGUAAUCAACAAGGGGACUAAGUGCAGCUUUGAACUUCC
rnacentral:lncRNA from 1 species